rnacentral:rRNA from 1 species
AGCGAACAUUGGCGGUAGGCUUAACACAUGCAAGUCGAGCGAGGCGUAAUAGUCGAGCGGCGAACGGGUGAGUAAUACCUGGAAAUCUACUCUGACGUGGGGAUAACGUCCAGAAAUGGACGCUAAUACCGAAUAAUCCAUAGUGGGAAAGCGUUGCAGCGCUUUAGGAUGAGUCCAUGGCUGAUUAGCUAGUUGGUGAGGUAAAGGCUCACCAAGGCGACGAUCAGUAGCUGGUCUGAGAGGAUGACCAGCCACACUGGAACUGGGACACGGUCCAGACUCCUACGGGAGGCAGCAGUGGGGAAUCUUGCGCAAUGGGGUCAACCCUGACGCAGCCAUACCGCGUGAGUGAUGAAGUUCUUCGGAUUGUAAAGCUCUUUCGGCGGGGACGACGAUGACGGUACCCGCAAAAGAAGUCACGGCUAACUUCGUGCCAGCCGCCGCCGUAA